GACGAACGCUGGCGGCGUGCCUAAUACAUGCAAGUAGAACGCUGAAGGAGGAGCUUGCUUCUCUGGAUGAGUUGCGAACGGGUGAGUGACGCGUAGGUAACCUGCCUGGUAGCGGGGGAUAACUAUUGGAAACGAUAGCUAAUACCGCAUAAGAGUAGAUGUCGCAUGACAUUUGCUUAAAAGGUGCAAUUGCAUCACUACCAGAUGGACCUGCGUUGUAUUAGCUAGUUGGUGAGGUAACGGCUCACCAAGGCAACGAUACAUAGCCGACCUGAGAGGGUGAUCGGCCACACUGGGACUGAGACACGGCCCAGACUCCUACGGGAGGCAGCAGUAGGGAAUCUUCGGCAAUGGACGGAAGUCUGACCGAGCAACGCCGCGUGAGUGAAGAAGGUUUUCGGAUCGUAAAGCUCUGUUGUAAGAGAAGAACGAGUGUGAGAGUGGAAAGUUCACACUGUGACGGUAUCUUACCAGAAAGGGACGGCUAACUACGUG
rnacentral:rRNA from 1 species